UACUCGAGUGGCGAACGGGUGAGUAACACGUGGGUGAUCUGCCCUGCACUUCGGGAUAAGCUUGGGAAACUGGGUCUAAUACCGGAUAGGAGCCAUCUUUAGUGUGGUGGUUGGAAAGUUUUUUCGGUGUAGGAUGAGCUCGCGGCCUAUCAGCUUGUUGGUGGGGUAAUGGUCUACCAAGGCGGCGACGGGUAGCCGGCCUGAGAGGGUGUACGGCCACAUUGGGACUGAGAUACGGCCCAG
rnacentral:rRNA from 1 species